UACGUAGGGUGCGAGCGUUAAUCGGAAUUACUGGGCGUAAAGCGUGCGCAGGCGGUUGGCAAAGUCAGCUGUGAAAGCCCCGGGCUCAACCUGGGAAUGGCGGUUGAAACUAGUCGACUCGAAUCUGGCAGAGGGGGGUGGAAUUCCACGUGUAGCAGUGAAAUGCGUAGAGAUGUGAAGGAACACCGAUGGCGAAGGCAGCCCCCUGGGCUGAGAUUGACGCUCAGGCACGAAAGCGUGGGGAGCAAACAGG
rnacentral:rRNA from 1 species